GAAAUAUCCAAAUCACAUGAAAUUUUGAUAGAAAAUUCUUUAUACUAUAUAAAACAAGAUCAAUAUCUUUGAUCUAAAAUUUUAAUGUUAUAUUAUCAUGUUUUGUAAGAUUUUUAUUUUCAGCCAUUGAUUUUGAGCCCCUUCGUUUACUAGGCAAAUAAUAUCGAAAAAUCGCAUAAUUUAUUUUCUAGCUAGGUACUUCAAAUAUUCUAGAUCAAGUUUAAUGAAGCGAUCGACGAUUCGAAAGUCGCAACAUGAAAAACGAUCUGGAAGCACAUAAGGUUCCGUGCUUCUAGAAGUAUAGUAGCCUCACUCUAGAGAGAGAGAGAGAGAGAGAGAGAGAGAGAGAGAGGCUACUGUGCUAUUAAGAGCAUAUAUAUAUAUAUAUAUAUAUAUAUAUAUAUAGAGAGAGAGAGAGAGAGAGAGAGAGAGAGAGAGAGAGAGAGAGAGAGAGAGGGGGUUACUGUGCUAUUAAGAGCACAGCAGCUCAUAUGCUCCUAAAUUUCUAACCAUCCAACAAUUUUGAUGGAUAGUUAUGAUGAGAGAAAGAUGAAAAAUUAACUAAAAAUUGGGUGUCUUAAUUUUGAGAAAAGAAGUAAUAGAUAGAACAUGUGAAAUUGACAGAAAAAAAGAGAUGAGAAUUGAACCCAUUAGUUAGAACAUAACAUUCGUGAAAUAGCAAAAACUUAGCAUUAGUUCUGAUGCUUGUGUUAUCACGAGAUCAAUCUGAUAAAAAAUAAUCUAAAAAUAUAUUUUUUACACUGGUGA
rnacentral:lncRNA from 1 species